rnacentral:rRNA from 1 species
UACGAAGGGUGCAAGCGUUACUCGGAAUUACUGGGCGUAAAGCGUGCGUAGGUGGUGAGUUACGUCUGUCGUGAAAGCCCCGGGCUCAACCUGGGAAUGGCGAUGGAUACUGGCUCGCUAGAGUGCGGUAGAGGAGAGUGGAAUUCCCGGUGUAGCAGUGAAAUGCGUAGAGAUCGGGAGGAACAUCAGUUGCGAAGGCGGCUCUCUGGACCAGCACUGACACUGAGGCACGAAAGCGUGGGGAGCAAACAGG